UAUAAACUCACUUUUCUGUGCCCCUAAAGA
rnacentral:piRNA from 1 species